AUGAACGGGCUGGUGACUGACCUCCUCUCAAAUGUGACCGCUGUCUGGGCGCUCUGUCCACACGGGCUCGGUGGGGCGCCUGCCACGUAUAGACAGAGUGGACCACAGGGAUGCCCAGGCCAGGGCCCGGGGGCGCCCUGCCGCCCUCUGCCCUCAGGGUUCUGGGUGCUGCCCUGCUCUGGAUCCUGCGGGGAGAGUGGCCCGAGGUGGGCCCUGGUCACUGGGCUGCUGUCCCCCGCGCUGGGCCCAGCUGCCUCCAGCAGCCAGCCCUCAGUGUCCCCGCGGGCAUACCCGCCGCCCCUCAUUCAGGACCAGUCUCUUCCUUAUGGCCCCGGCCCCUCUCCACCCGCAGGGCCCCACAGCAGAAGUGCGUCUGGGCCGCGCCCCCAGCGUGGCCGCGCCCACUUCAUAGUGGGAGCCUGCGUUCCUGGGGGCCCGCCGGUGGCCUCGGGGGCUGGCCCGGGACCCCGUGGUUCUCAGGGUGGCCCCUGUGCACCAGCACCCUCUGCCCAUCCCCGCCCUGGAGUGAGGGCUCCCCGGGUGUGCUCUGUGCCCAGUGCCCUUUGCCCUUUCACCCGGGCCGCCCCAGGGCAGACAGCAGUAGGGGACAGCCGGCCCCCCCGGAGGGUGUGGGGUCUCCCAGCUCACCAGGGGCCCUGGCUUCCCCACGAGGAGUCACCCCCAGUGCUCAGGGGGCUCCCCCGUCACCACUGUGGAGGAGACCUGGGCACUUUUGCAACAGCAGCCCCAGCAGAAGUGCAAACAUAUCCAGCCUGGAGAGACCCGUGCCUGGGCCGGAGCUGCCUGCGCCAGACUGUGCCGCAGCCCCUGUGGUGGUUGUCGUGCAGCCACUCAGUCGUGUCCGACUCUGCGACCCCACAGACCGCAGCACGCCAGGCUUUGCUGUCCUUCACUGUCUCCCGGAACUUGCUCAAACUCAUGUCCAUUGAAUCUGUGAUGCCAUCCAACCAUCUCAUCCUCUGUCGUCCCCUUCUCCUCCUGUCUUCAAUCUUUCCCAGCAGCAGGGUCUUUUCAAAUGAGUCAACUCUUCGCAUCAGGUGGCCAAAGGAUGGAGCUUCAGCUUCAGCAUCAGUCCUUCCAAUGAAUAUUCAGGACUGA
ensembl:lncRNA